ensembl:lncRNA
AGGCAAAGUAAAGCAAAAGAGAAAGAAGUGGUUGCAGCUUUCUGACUUCUUAACACCUAAGCUGCCACUGAGAAUGAAUUUUACAAGGCUUAAAUAAAAUAUCCAGGAAGGUCACAGUGGCAAUGAAGUUUGGACAACAGCCUUGUAAAUUGUAUAGAUCUGUUUAGUCUUCAGAUUGCAACAGUUCUGAGAACUAUAGUAAUCAGAACAGAUACGUGACACAGAACAAAGGAUUAAGCACUAUCACCUGAGUCUGGUCAAGCCAGGAUUAGAGAUGGCUGAGAACUGGUGCUUGUCUCCCCUGUGUGGCUCCAAAUAGUUUUGCUUUGAGUCUGUGAACACCUUGGGAUUGCCUUGGCUCCUGUGUUCCAGCUGUUUCUUGCUGUAUUGCAUUUGUGUGACAAGGUUUUGAUAACAGCGGUGGCUUCUGUGAGAGGCUGCUGGAAGCUUCUCCUAUGUCUGACAGAGCCAAUGCCAGUCAGUUCCAAGAUGGAUCCAGUUCUGGCCAAGACUGAGUCCAUCGGCGCUGGUGGUAGUGCCUCUGGAUAAUGUAGUGGUGAAGGGGAAAAAAUAGGAACUGGGAAAGAAGCGGGGAGAGAAGAGUGAGAAUAUGUGGGAAAAACAGCUAUGCAAAUCCCAUGGCCUGUGAAGAAUGUGUGGGAAGAACUGCUGUGGGUGAGGAGCAGAGAUUUUCCUGCAGCCUAUGGAGCAGACCAUGGUGAGGCAGCUGUGCCCCUACAACCCCUGGAGGUCAGUGGUGGAGCAGGGAUUCACCUGCAGCUCAUGGAGGACCCCACACCAGAGCAUGUGGAUGCCCAGUGGAGGCUAUGACCCUGUGGAAGCCUGGGCUGGAGCAGUUUGUUCCUAAAGGACUGCACAUCACAGAAAGGACAUACAUUGGAUCAGUUCAUGAAGGACUGCUUCCAAUGGGAGGGAUCCCAGGCUGGGGCAAGGGAAGAGUGUAAGGAGUCCUUAUCCGGAGGAAAAGGAAGGGGCAGAAGGAACAUAUGAUGAGCUCAUUGCAACUCCCAUUCCCAUCCCACUACAUCAGGUGACAGAGAAGGUAGAGAAAACCAGGAGUGAAUUUAAGCCUGGGAAGAAGGUGUUUCAAAGAUACUUUAUUUCUCAUUCUCUUACUCUGGUUUGAUUAGUAAUAAGCCAAUUUCCCUGAGUCCAGUCAGUUUUGCCUGUGAGGAUAUUUGGUGAGUGAUCUCUCUAUCCUUACCUUGACCCAUGAGCCUUCUGUUACAUUUUCUCUCCCCUGUCUGGCUGAGGAGGGCAGUGACAGAGCAGCUUUAGUGGGCACCUGGCACCCAGCCAGAGCAAACUCACCACACUUGUUACAAGUUUUGAUUAAAGAAAAUGCACUUCAGAGACUGUGGAUAAACUACACCAGAAAUAAGUUUGUUCAUACAUGAUAACAGGCUUUUAAAAAUUAGUCAAUCUUCAUUCAGUCACGCCGAGUCCUCAUUUUGUUUCUUUUUCUUCAAUGUGGCCUUUGCACUGUGUUUCACUUUAUGCUAUUAAAAAGCUAUUUGGAUGAUCAAAUUACUAACUUUUUUUGAGACUGAGCUUGAGAAUCCCAUAUUCUUGCUGAUGACAUAGCUGUUCUGAACCAGCUUGCUGGUCCCUGGACAGUCUGAA